GGAUAGUGACGCCGUGGCUUGCGUGGGCGAUGGUCGCGCGACGGCGAUGCGACGCAUACGAAAUCAAAUCUUAUCGAUAUGGAAGUAGACGAUGCGAUGAGACCAUAAUCUCCAUAGUGGCAUCAACUCCCGUAAAGGAUCUUUUUACUGACUAACAAUAACAUCUUUUUUCAAUUGGUAAUAACUCUGAAGCUAGGCAAUAUCCAGAAAAGUAUAAGUACAUAACAUUAUAGUCUCUAAAAGUGGUCAGGAAUACACUGUUAAAAUCUUUUGACGAUGUUAAAAAUAUUUAGGGUCUGUUUAACAAUGUCUUACUAAAGUAUAGCUAAUCAAUAAAUUAUUUUACCAAAUAAAAAUUGUCAAUUUGUUAAUUGCACAAACUACUAAGAAGAUACUACGUUAAUUGUAAGUUACAGCUGGCAACAUUGUAUAUUGACGUUUCUCACGUUUCGAUUUACGGAAUACGUGGUCCAUAUUAUAACGCCUUUUGAAAUUUUGCACAUUUUAUUGAUUUUAUACAUGAUUAUGUAUUUAAUAUUGAUUACUUUAAAUGUAUAUUCUUCCUACAACAUUGUUCAAUGAUACAACUUUUUUAAGAAAUUUUAUGUGGAUGAAGAUGAAACGUAAUGCAAAUGUCAAAGAAAGAAAAUAAUUUUAGUUUAACUUAUGAAUCAUAAACAUACUGCUAAAAAUUCUAAACUUCAGGUCUAAUAAUAUAAACUACAUCUAAGUAUUUUGCAGUCCACAGGAUAAUUGAGGGAAGUUAGUUCUGAGAUGAUGAAAAUAAUAUAUGGUCUCAAAGGAAGUCGGCCUCAUUGUGAACAAGACGAAAUCCCGCUUUAUAUAAACCAAGGCAGGUUGGAAAAGUCCAGAAGCAAAUUUUAGAAGAAAAAUAUUGUACUGAAUAACUACAAUGGGCCAUUGAAGAAGAGAAGACGGCACAAGAGGGAAAUAUGGGCCUUAGAAAAAGAUAUCACGCCUCUAUCCCAUAAAGAGGUAGGCAGAGCACAUGAACUACUAAGUUUCUGUGCCACUCUUGGCAAAAAGGGGUGGAAAGAAAUCCAAAUUAUGACAUUGAAGAAGUGAAGACUAAAUAAGUAAACCAAAGGCCCCAAGAAUAUAAAAGACUGCAAUGAAAUUGUCAAGAAGAGGGUGCGAGAGCAGAA
rnacentral:lncRNA from 1 species